ACUCAAAUGAAUUGACGGGGGCCCGCACAAGCGGUGGAGCAUGUGGUUCAAUUCGACGCAACGCGAAGAACCUUACCGAGGCUCGAACGGUAACUGCAAUCCUUGGAAACAGGGAGUUCUCUUCGGAGACGGUUAUCGAGGUGCUGCAUGGCUGUCGUCAGCUCGUGUCGUGAGAUGUUGGGUUAAGUCCCGCAACGAGCGCAACCCUUGUCUUUAGUUGCUAACAGGUCAAGCUGAGAACCCUAAAGAUACUGUCGGCGAAAAGCCGGAGGAAGGUGGGGAUGACGUCAAGUCCUCAUGGCCCUUACGUCUCGGGCUACACACGUGCUACAAUGGUCGGUACAAAGGGUUGCCAACCCGCGAGGGGGAGCUAAUCCCAGAAAGCCGAUCUCAGUUCGGAUUGCAGUCUGCAACUCGACUGCAUGAAGGUGGAAUCGCUAGUAAUCGCAGAUCAGCACGCUGCGGUGAAUACGUUCCCGGGCCUUGUACACACCGCCCGU
rnacentral:rRNA from 1 species